AGCGAACGCUGGCGGCAGGCCUAACACAUGCAAGUCGAACGAACCUUUCGGGGUUAGUGGCGGACGGGUGAGUAACACGUGGGAACGUGCCUUUAGGUUCGGAAUAACUCAGGGAAACUUGUGCUAAUACCGAAUGUGCCCUUCGGGGGAAAGAUUUAUCGCCUUUAGAGCGGCCCGCGUCUGAUUAGCUAGUUGGUUGAGGUAAUGGCUCACCAAGGCGACGAUCAGUAGCUGGUCUGAGAGGAUGAUCAGCCACAUUGGGACUGAGACACGGCCCAAACUCCUACGGGAGGCAGCAGUGGGGAAUCUUGCGCAAUGGGCGAAAGCCUGACGCAGCCAUGCCGCUUGAAUGAUGAAGGUCUUAGGAUUGUAAAAUUCUUUCACCGGGGACGAUAAUGACGGUACCCGGAGAAGAAGCCCCGGCUAACUUCGUG
rnacentral:rRNA from 1 species